rnacentral:lncRNA from 1 species
CAUCAGGUCGGGCUCUUUUACCCUCCCAGAGUGGGAUGGGCAAGAGACAGCCCUUUCCAAGCCCCACAGAGAGUCCACAGAGCCCAGUCCCACACUCACAGGGGCUGCCUGGGGACCCCAAGAGCAGAACUGGGGGGUGAGCUGCAGAGUGGGGUCGGCUUCUCAGCGUAAGACCCAAAGAUAUCCUGUUUGAUGGGUAUCUUCCCAUCACCCAUCUCCUGAAUGCCUGAAUGAAAUAGGGAUCAGGCCGGGGUGUCCCGGCCCCCCACCUCUCCCAGGCCUGCUGCUGCCCUGUCUGUGUCCCUCCCAUGCAGAUCCCACCUGUAACAAUCCAACUGGCAGCUGGAGACUCUCCUUGCCCGUCAUCAUCUGCAUCAUCCUGGGAGCCCUGCUCUGCCUGCUCCUGGCCCUCCUGGCCAGGCAAGUGCGAAGCGCCAGGGCUGGGCGCAGAGGUGGGUCCCUUCCCAGGGGAAGAUGCCUCCUGGCAAGGGCAGGGGUGCCGUGGGGUGUGAGGGAGUGGGACAGGCAGAGCUGGGGGGACAGGAGUGUCAGCUCUCUGGGGGAUCCCAUCCUCUCUCUGACCAGCCCUGGGCCAGCCCUGCCUCUGUCCGCAGGCUCUGAGAGAGCUCAGGAGCCCUUCCUGGAGGCCGUGUACGAGGAGAUCGAUUACAGCCCAGCGUGGGAGAAGCAGGCAAGGUUCAGCGGCCCAGGCUCCUAUUCCGAGGGGUCCCUGACCAAGCUGCAGUCCUACCCCGGG